CAGGAAUUUAAGCCUAUGCUAGACUCCCCAGCUAGAGGAGGGUACACAGGAUGUUGUUUCCCAUUACUUCAGGGACUUGAGUUGUAAUGUUCGUGCAAAAACAGAGUUAGAAGAUUGGGGCUCAUGCAGCAACCCUUAAAAGACCACACUCUAAGUAACAGGGGGACUAAAGAAAAAAACCCCUCAAUGCAAUGACAGUCUGGCCUCUGGAUAUAGAAGGUGUAUAUGGUCGUGGUAGUGGUGAUGGAGUCGGGCUAGGAGAGGAGUGGCAGAGUCUCCCUGGAGAACUGGCAACCACGGGUCUAUAUCUCAGCUGGUGCAAAGCUGGGAGAGCUUAGUCAUAUCCCACCUCCGUCAUUGCCUAUUGGUGUGAAAAAAGAGGAGGAGCUCCUUACUACACAAGAGACCAGCGCUCCUCACGGAGACACCAGGACAGAGGGAUUUAAGCGCAUCUACCUCCUGAAGACUCCCGAGUUAAGGAAGUCUGGCAUGGAAGGGCUGGCUCCCAGAGAGCCUGCUGCCCCCUCUGACAUCGGGCCCUGGAAUCAAGCAGGAGGUGGCAGGAAAUCUGACUGCUGUGGCUGGCCAGGACCUGCUUCUGGGAUUGUCAAGGCUGGGGUAGGAGUGCAGGUUGGCGUUCCCUGGGAGCUGGCUGGGACUAAGAAGAGGCAAGAGAGGCAUCGAGGGUGCAGACUUUAAGGAGACAGUCCGGUGCUGACCCCGCACUUGCAUGAGCCAGAGAGGGAGUGCCUCUGACAGUUUUGUGCCCUGGGCACGUCCCUUGCCUCAUCCAAGUCUUGGCUCUGCCUGGGGUCCAGGGAAGGGGGGCCUGGCAUCACUGCUUCUGCUUCAGAAUGAGGGAGACAACUGUGGUGGCGAAAGGCACACAAGUGUGUGUGGCCCACAUAACAAGGAUCAGUGCUCAGGUCAGAGUCUGCACCUGAUGGGCAGUCCUGGUGGUGCCUGAUUGUGAUGAGCUCCCAGCUGUCUGGCCUUGGGUGGACGAUCAGACCUCAAGGUGCGAUGCAAAAGAAAGCAUGUUCCUUUCUCUUCUUCACUCACAAAGCGAGCUUUGACCCAGAGUGGGACCCAUGAAAAUGUGAAGGCAAGUGUAUUAGUUAUCUAUUGCACCAUAACAAAUUAUCCCGAAAUUUAGUGGCUUAAAAUAACAACAUUUAUUAUGUCACAGUUUCUGUAGGCCAGGAAUCCAGUACGGCUUUCCUGGGUCCUCUGUUUCAGGGCCUCUCACAGGCUGGAAUCAGGUGCCACGUGGGGUAUAGUCAUCUCAGGUUUGACUGGAGAAAGAGCCGUCUCGAGCUUGCUCAUGUGCCUGUUGGCAGGAUUCAGUUC
rnacentral:lncRNA from 1 species